CUCGCCUACGUGCGGGGGAUGCCCUGGAUUCAUCCAAGAGAAAAGAAAACACCGAAAAUUACAAUUACACAGCAAAAGAAGAGGAAGAGAAAGCUCUUUCCCGUUGUAAUCAAUCUUCACAGAGCACACAAAGCAGAGAUUCUUAGCUGCUUCGUAAAACCCGAUUCCAGGUUUUGAAAAGGGAGAGAACUCUGUUAACUCGACUGGUGUGGUCUCUUCAACCAACCCUUCACUAGGCCUGCGUCGUUGCUUCCUCCGCCAUCGCCUUUAGCGUUCCUGUAAGAUCACUGACAUGGAAGCUGAAGCUGAGAAGAGCUUAGUUAAGAGAAAUUUUCUCAGAGACAAUGAAGUAAAGAAUCAAAUGUUGUGGAAAGAGCAUGAUGUUUACAGGGCUGAAUCUUGUGAAAAGCCUCCUGAACCAGGGGAGAAGUUCUUUGGAAACUUCCCAUUCCCUUACAUGAAUGGUACUUUGCAUCUUGGACAUGCAUUCUCACUCUCAAAGCUAGAGUUUUCUGCACGUUAUCAUAGGUUAAGAGGCGCCAAUGUUCUCUUGCCUUUUGCUUUUCACGGCACUGGCAUGCCCAUCAAUGCCUCAGCUGAUAAGCUUGCACGAGAGAUCAAACAGUUUGGGAACCCACCAGUGUUUCCCCAAAGUGACGAAGAGGAGCAAGGGAACCAGCAGGAAGCAGAAGAUGAAAAAGCAGGUGCACCUCCAGAUAAUAAGUUAAAGGGAAAGAAGUCCAAGGCUGCAUCAAAAUAAAGUGGACAAGCAUUCCAAUGGCAAAUUAUGCGUAGUCUUGGCCUCUCUGACAGUGAGAUACCUGAAUUCCAAGAACCGUCUAAGUGGUUGAACUAUUUCCCUCCAUUGGCAGUGAAAGGCUUUUGGCUUGGGAUGUGACUGGAGCCGCUCCUUUGUUACUACAGACUUGAAUCCAUAUUUUGAUAAGUUUGUGAGUUGGCAGAUGUGGAAAUUGAAAGAAAUAGGUAAGAUUGUGAAAGAUAAACGUUACACAAUCUACUCUCCAUUGGAUGGACAGCCAUGUGCAGAUCAUGAUAGGGCAACUGGUGAAGGAGUUCAGCCCCAAGAAUACACAAUCAUCAAAAUGGAGGUAGUGGCACCUUUUCCUGCUAAGUUGGGAGUAUUGGAAGGGAGGAAAGUUUUCCUUGCUGCAGCAACUUUGAGACCAGAAACCAUGUGUGGACAAACAAAUGCAUGGGUUUUGCCCGAUGGAAAGUAUGGAGCCUUUGAAAUCAACGACACUGAUGUAUUUGUUCUUACUCAGAGAGCAGCACUUUACCUCGCCUAUCAGGAGUAUUCUAGAGUCCCUGAUAAGCCUACUUGCUUGGUUGAUCUCACUGGUUAUGAUUUGAUUGGUCUUCCAUUGAAAUCACCACUUGCACUCAAUCAGAUCAUUUACGCCCUUCCAAUGUUGACAAUCCUAACAGACAAAGGUACUGGGAUUGUGACCAGUGUCCCUUCUGAUGCUCCUGAUGAUUUUAUGGCCUUGCAUGAUUUAAAAUUGAAGCCAGCUUUCAGGUCAAAAUAUGGUGUGAGGGAUGAAUGGGUCAUGCCUUUUGAUAUUAUCCCAAUCAUUGACAUUCCCGAAUUUGGAGAUAAGGCUGCAGAAAAGGUGUGUGUAGAUCUCAAAAUCAAAAGCCAGAAUGACAGAGAGAAGCUGGCAGAAGCCAAGAGGUUGACCUACUUGAAAGGAUUUACAGAAGGAACAAUGCUUGUGGGAGAAUUCAACGGAAGGAAAGUUCAGGAGGCGAAAGCACUGUUAAGGAGCAAGCUGAUAGAGGCAGGUGAUGCAAUUAUGUAUAGUGAACCUGAGAAGCGCGUAGUGUCAAGGUCGGGUGAUGAAUGUGUUGUGGCAUGUACAGAGCAAUGGUACAUCACAUAUGGCGAAGCAGAAUGGAAAAAACAGGCUCAGGAGUACUUAUCCAGCAUGAACUUUUAUUCUGACAUGACACGGCAUGGAUUUGAACAUACAUUGACUUGGUUGAAUCAGUGGGCUUGCUCACGAUCAUUUGGGCUUGGGACGCGCAUUCCCUGGGAUGAAAAGUACUUUGCUGAUUCCACCAUUUACAUGGCUUAUUACACCAUUGCUCACUUGUUGCACAAUGAAGACAUGUAUGGGGGUUCCAGCACAUCUGGGGUUACACCUGAGCAAAUGACCAAUGAAGUUUGGGAUUUUAUUUUCUGUGAUGGCCCAUUUCCAAAAUCAUCUGAGGUGUCACAAUUAAUUCUGAAUAAGAUGAAGCAGGAGUUUGAGUACUGGUAUCCUUUUGAUCUUCGAGUGUCUGGUAAGGAUCUAAUCCAGAAUCAUUUAACCUUUUGCAUUUACAACCACACAGCAAUUAUGUCCAAGAAUCACUGGCCUCUUGGAUUUAGAUGCAAUGGGCACCUCAUGCUUGAUUCAAUGAAGAUGUCCAAGUCCACAGGGAACUUUAUGACAUUGCGUGAGGCAAUUGCAGAAUAUUCUGCUGAUGCCACACGGUUCUCUUUGGCUGAUGCUGGUGAUGGUGUUGAUGAUGCAAAUUUUGUUUCUAGUACUGCAAAUAAGGCCAUCCUAGAUCUCAGUAAAGAGAUCUCAUGGAUGGAAGAACAAUUGGGUGCAGACACAUUGAGAAUAGGUCCCCCUUCUACUUUUGCUGACAGGGUCUUUGUGAAUGAGAUGAAUAUUGCUGUGAAGAUGACUGAGCAGAAUUACCAGGCUUGCAAGUUCCGAGAGGCCCUUAUUACUGGCUUUGUUGGUCUUCAAGCUGCCAGGAAGUGGUACUGGAUUUCAUGUGGCUCUCAAGAAAUGAACCAUGAUUUGGUGUGGCGCUUUAUGGAUGUACAGACACGUUUGAUUGCUCCAAUCUGUCCACAUUAUGCAGAAUAUGUCUGGAGGGAGCUUUUGAAGAAGGAUGGGUUUGUGGCAAAUGCAGGCUGGCCUGCAGCUGAUGCUCCAGACUUAACCCUCCAGAGUGCCAAAAAGUAUGUGGAAGACUUGAUUGGUUCAAUGAUGAAGCUGUACAACAAGCAAAAGGCAAAUUUGACCAAUAAGAAGGUGAUAGGCUUGAUAUAUGUUAAGGAACAAUUUGAUGAAUGGAAGAUAGAGUGCUUGAGGAUACUCCAGAAUAACUUCAACAGAGAGACUCGUUGUUUUGCUGCAGUCAGUGUCAUAUUGGAGGCAUUGCAAAGUAGUUCUGUCAAUCAGGGUAAAGAUUUUAGACAAACCCAAAAGCUUUGUAUGCCCUUCUUGAAGUCAAAGAAGAAGGAUGCAGUUGAACUUGGGGCUCGGGCCUUAGACUUAAAGCUACCAUUUGGAGAGAUUGAGGUCCUUCAACAGAACUUGGACUUGGUUAAGAGACAAGUCAAACUUGAAGAGGUGGAAGUUUUGUCUGCUACCAACCCAGAUGAUCGUGCUAAAGCGGGCUCUCAUGUGAAACAGAUAGAGCAAAAUCCUCCAUCCCCUGGAAGUCCAACGACCAUCUUCUUGACCUGUUAAUUAGCUAUAAUCUUUUUGGUUGAUAUCUACAAUUUACGUACAGAACUCUCUUUGUCAGAUUAGUUUGCUCACCUAACUUGUGUGGGUUUUUCUUUUAUUUAUUAUUUAUUAUUAUUAAAGUUCAAGCGUGGAUUGCUUCUGUUUUCAACAAUUUCAGACAAAU